UGGUUAUGUUUCUGUUGAGGUUUCUCCCAGACUUGCUGAUGAUACUAAUGGGACCAUUGAGGCAGCCAAAUAUCUUCAUGAAGUGGUUGAUCGUCCCAAUGUGUACAUUAAGAUCCCUGCAACAGCACCAUGCAUUCCUUCAAUCAAGGAAGUUAUUGCGAAUGGCAUAAGUGUGAACGUCACUGUAUGUUAUUUCUGAUUUCCUGGCUUAACUUGAAGUAGAAGAUAUGGUCUUUUGCUACACUCAUUUGUUUCUUAAACGUUCUUACGAGUUUUUACUGUUAAUACUUGUUUUAGCAAUUACUGCUUUUGAUGAGCCAUUGGCUAUAACUCAAGAACCAUUUUUACCCAAUCAGCAAAGUUUUUGAGUGGGUCAUUAUAGUUCUGGGCUUGUUCCACUGAAGUUGUAGAUAAUGGUGGUGAUAUAUUGCCUUUACACCGUACUAUAUAUGUUUCUUUUUAUGUUCUAAUCUUAAUUUUCAUUUCUUAUGUGUAUGUACAGCUCAUAUUUUCGCUUGCUAGAUACGAGGCUGUCAUUGAUGCUUACUUGGACGGCCUUGAGGAUUCUGGGUUGAGUGAUCUCUCCAGGGUUACUAGUGUAGCUUCCUUCUUUGUCAGUAGGGUAGACACCCUCAUUGACAAAAUGCUUGAAAUGAUUGGAACACCAGAAGCCCUUGAUCUCCG
rnacentral:lncRNA from 1 species